rnacentral:lncRNA from 1 species
UAAUCUCAAACACAUAACAAUUUCUAAUUACUAAGUAACUACCCAAAAUAUAAAUAUAAAUAAUUAACUAAAUAAGUUCAGUUAAAAAUUUAUUAUAGCGAGUUGAGAAAUUAAUACGAAACAACGACAUGAAUGUCGAGAAAUAAAAAUAAAAAUUUCGCCGGUUGCCGAAAUUUUUUUGACAGUGAUGAAAAUUCGAUCUGAGCACAUCAAAAGAAAGCCCACAAUCUCAGAAGUCUAGAUGUACAAGUAUUUUUGCCAGAAAGUGGCCGGAAAAUUCUAUCUGCCGUUUAAAGUUUUUACACCAGCGAGCUUGAUCAAUAGUGAAACAGAGGAGAUCAGAGCUAAGUUUCACUAUCCUAAGGUUUUUCGACAUGAACUAAUUUUUGGGAUCUGAUCAGCCAAAGGAGGUAGGCAAGAUGUUAAACCUGCAAGGGAAGCAGUGAAAGACAUUUUCUCUCUCUUCGAAGCACACGAAACGACGACUCUUGAUGUUGCUUGACGCCGGCGAGGGUUGGAGCGAGAUAAUGAUGGCCUGAAAUGGGUGUUAGAUGGUGAAAAGGGGCUGAUUGCCGGUGAAUAGGUGAAGAAAUGAGUAGUGGCAAUAGUGUAUGACGAGAGAGAAUGACUGAGGUAGGAGGAGGGACCAAGCUGAAAUUUCUCU